AGUGGCAAACGGGUGAGUAUAAUGUGGGAAUCUGCCUUUUGGUUUGGAAUAACACGGGGAAACUUGUGCUAAUACCGAAUAAGCCCUUACGGGGAAAGUUUUAAUGCCGAAAGAUGAGCCUGCACUUGAUUAGCUAGUUGGUAAGGUAAAGGCUUACCAAGGCUACGAUCAAUAGCUGUUCUUGGAGGAAGACCAGCCACAUUGGGACUGAGACACGGCCCAGACUCCUACGGGAGGCAGCAGUGGGGAAUCUUGCACAAUGGGGGAAACCCUGAUGCAGCGAUGCCGCGUGAGUGAAGAAGGCCUUUGGGUUGUAAAACUCUUUCGUCGGGGAAGAAAAUGACUGUACCCGAAUAAGAAGGUCCGGCUAACUUCGUGCCAGCAGCCGCGGUAAUACGAAGGGACCUAGCGUAGCUCGGAAUUACUGGGCUUAAAGAGCUCGUAGGUGGUUAAAAAAGUUGAUGGUGAAAUCCCAAGGCUCAACCUUGGAACUGCCAUCAAAACUUUUUAGCUAGAGUGUGAUAGAGGUAAGUGGAAUUUCUAGUGUAGAGGUGAAAUUCGUAGAUAUUAGAAAGAACACCAAAUGCGAAGGCAACUUACUGAGUCACUACUGACACUGAGGAGCGAAAGCAUGGGUAGCGAAGAGGAUUAGAUACCCUCGUAGUCCAUGCCGUAAACGAUGUGUGCUAGACGUUGGAAAUAUAUUUUUCAGUGUCGCAGCGAAAGCAUUAAGCACACCGCCUGGGGAGUAC
rnacentral:rRNA from 1 species